AUGAUGACUCUCGGCAACGGAUAUCUCGGCUCUCGCAUCGAUGAAGAACGUAGCGAAAUGCGAUACCUGGUGUGAAUUGCAGAAUCCCGUGAACCAUCGAGUCUUUGAACGCAAGUUGCGCCCGAGGCCACCCGGUCGAGGGCACGCCUGCCUGGGCGUCACGC
rnacentral:rRNA from 1 species